ensembl:rRNA 5S_rRNA 5S ribosomal RNA
GACAUUUGGUAGAUGCUGUACAGCCACCUGGUCCCAGCAGACUCCAGAGAACAAUCACAUUCACUGGUGCUGGAACAAGGUCAUUAAGGGUGAAGCCUAGUGCCAGAUGUCU